rnacentral:sRNA from 1 species
CAUUUUGUAAAAUGCCUUUCAAUUUUUCUAGGCAUUUUGUAAAAUGCCUAGAAAAAUUUAGGCAUUUUGUAAAAUGAC